CAGGCGUGUGUGACUUGGUCGUGAGAUGUUGGGUUAAGUCCCGCAACGAGCGCAACCCUUUUCCUUAUUUGCCAGCGGGUUAAGCCGGGAACUUUAAGGAUACUGCCAGUGACAAACUGGAGGAAGGCGGGGACGACGUCAAGUCAUCAUGGCCCUUACGACCAGGGCUACACACGUGCUACAAUGGUCGGUACAAAGGGUUGCUACCUAGCGAUAGGAUGCUAAUCUCAAAAAGCCGAUCGUAGUCCGGAUUGGAGUCUGCAACUCGACUCCAUGAAGUCGGAAUCGCUAGUAAUCGCGGAUCAGAAUGCCGCGGUGAAUACGUUCCCGGGCCUUGUACACACCGCCCGUCACACCAUGGGAGUUUGUUGCACCAGAAGUAGGUAGUCUAACCGCAAGGAGGACGCUACCUCG
rnacentral:rRNA from 1 species